GUGAGUGAGUGAGUGAGUGAGUGAGUGAGUGAGUGAGUGAGUGAGUGAGUGAAUAGUACCUCAGGAGGUGCGUGUUCAGCCAUGCAGCUGAGAACUCCCUUGAUAUUGUCAUGGCUCAGUC
rnacentral:lncRNA from 1 species